ensembl:lncRNA
CCAGCAGCCACCGUAGCUUCUGUCCUGCUCUGCCACGCCCCUAAGUAGCACCAUGGCGGUUCAUUCAUUAGCCAAAGUGCUGCUCCUAACCAGCUCACCAGGUAGGAUAGUUGCGGUCUCUGGGUUUCCACUUCUUGCUCUCCAUGCUAUUGCUGCGAAAAGAACAACAGAGAGUGUUGCAGCUGUCUACGGGGCAGGUCGCCGGAUCUGAGUCCUCUUCUUCGCGCACUGCAUGCCGUAUUGAGUGUGCACCGUCAUAUCGAUGAUUCCCCUCAAGCAUUUUGCCACCACCGGUUCAGUCCUUGUCCUGUUGGCCACGGGUAGGCUGCCCCUGCCAUCUCAAUCAGGCUAGAUCUGCGAAAGAGACCACGUGCCUCAAACUGGACAGAGGAUGGGGUCUAGACCAAAGACUAAAUACUGGUGCAGCGCACGCUCUCCUUCGUUUGCUUGUCCCGGGAGCACAAGGCCACUGUAACCCUGGCGGCUGUCAUGGGGGCCUUUGUCAUCUGCUGGGGUCCCCUACUUCACCUACAUGGCAUGAGGGCUCAACCCGACCCGCCUGAGAUCGUCCACUAGGUGGUACUGUGACUGGGCUACUUCAACUCGGUGCUGAACCCCAUCCUCUACCCGGCCCUGAACUGACAGAAAGAAUGUGGGGGGAAAAGAUGUUUGCAUGUUUUGCUGUGACGAAUAGGCUGGUGGGGAAUAGUAAAUCAGUGACUGUCUUAGCCCGUUUCCUAGGAUCCCUUUGGGUAGACAGAGAGAGAGAUGAUGAGACAGGCCCAACCAGUCAGGGCUGCUUCAGAAGGCUGGCGAGAGUCACUGGUAACCAGAAGACGUUAGGCUAAAUCUGGAUUUAGGCUCAUUCAACUUGGUCUGACUGCACUGAGUCCAAAGGGUAGUGCUGCCUUUCCUCCCAGCCGUAGUUGCUACGACACAGCAUGAGAAGUGAGAGUUGGCCACUGUCUCUUGAGAUGUCCCACCAUAUAGUUACCUUGUGGACGGCAUGUGUAAAAGAGCUGUGAGGAGGUGUUUUGACGUUGUGGGUGUUUGAUUAUGUUAAACACCCAUGCCAUGACUGACUUUAUAUUAAGAAUAUUUCAGUGGAAUUCAUUUUUUAUUUAUUUUGAUUCAUGUCUGCCUUUCCUAGUAUCCCUGAUAUGUUGGUGUUUGUGACAUGCUUCAAAUCUAAAUACAAGUAAACAGUCAGAGACCAUGGACUUAUGCAAUGCCCUGAAGAUAAUGCACUGAAGGUGCAUUUAGGGACAUGAGAGGGAAACCAAAGGUAAGGAUAAGAAGAUUCUGGGACUGCCCUCUAGUGUGAGCACUACUACAGCACAGUACCUCACCCACAGAGGACUGAAGUGUUUUUUUUUUUCCCUCACAGAGUACAGAAGUGUUUUUCUUCCCUCUGACAAAAAAAAGCACACCUGAGAAAAGUCACCAAGUGGAGUGGUGGUGGUGGUGGGAGGAGUCAGGUGUUAUGUCACUUGAGGAAAGACAGCCGAGCCAGCGGCUGCGUCAUGUCAGAUGUGGGCCGGAUGCAUGUCAAACUCACCUGAGUGGGCAGCCCUGAUUCAUGCAAAAUUAUCUCCCUAAUUGAUACUAACAUUGGACUGGCAUUAUGAUUGAUGCCCAACCAUGGCAGAAUUGUGAUUUAUUAAAAUGAAUAAUAUUGUAUCAAUAAAUUAUUGGUUUUGAUUACUGAACUGAUUCCACAGGGACAGCAGAACAACGUUGGGUGGAAUGGAGAGCAUAUGAAUUAUUUAUAUACAUCAUAAUGUAUAAAUAUAUUUGUAGUAUGUAUGUAUGUGUAAUAUAUAUUUCAUGUUCCAAAUGUGAAUAAUUUGCCAUAUUAAACAUACCAAUACUCUAUUAACAAACUAUUAAAUCAGAAUGUUUGAGUCUCUUAUUUAGCCUAACUGAGAGCUGUGUCUCUCAGAGCUGUGCUCUGCAAUGAGACGUUCACAGUGGAGACACUGGCUAAUGCCAAAAUUGCUAAUGCCAACAGGUAGGCCUACUAGAACCUUACAUUCAAAUAUAAUUCAUUAUAUAUAUUCAUGCAGUGUAAUACAAUAGAAUGAGAUAAAGAGACAG